GCAAUGCUUUCCCUGAAGGAUGUCAAAGUGGAGACACUGGAGCGUCCCAUCAAUAGCUGGACUCAACAAACACCUCCUGCUGAGGAACUGGCCCUCUCCAGCAAUCAGGGUCGCCCCCUGAUAGAAGGAGUGGAAGGGGGCAUUUGUUCAGACUCUGGUGGCAGUAGCUGAAACCAAGGCAUAUGUACAGGUGACAGGAGAUACAAUGGCGUUGCUGCACCGCCCACUGUUGUCCCACUGUGCCAUACAGAGGUAUCAGCGAAACUAAUUGUCAUACACCAGUAUGUUUGCCAUAUGUGGUUGCUGAACAUGGAUCAAAUAGGCCAUUUAUUUUCUCAAGUGGAGGUCCUAGAUGAUCAGGACACUGUGUCUGCCUGCUCAGAGAGCACUUUGGGGCAGGAAGAGGAACUUCUUCCUCACCCCGAGACUGGGGCCUCCACUUCAAGGCCAAGACAAAGACAUGUGGUAAGCAAUGAACCAUGGAACACAGCAGUCAAGUGGAUACCUGCAACUUUCUACAAGAGUGACUUGCAAAGAAACAAUGUUGUUUAUUUGCUUCAGGUUGGAGCAGACAAUGGGAGGGCCCUAUAUAAGAGAAUCCUGGAGCAUAACAUUGAGUACAAAAGGCUUUUAAUUAAAAAAAACAAGGCUGGAGAUUGAAAAACUUGAAAAGAAGGUAGUACGUGACUGAAUGUAUGAACAAAUGACACUAAACUGUUACACUGACAUUUUUCUAUGUUCCUAGGAAAGAGAGAGCACAUGAGUAUGCAUUUUCUCAACUUUUUGGUAUUUUUCUACAUUUUUGUGGCUUUUCUCAAAUAUUUUUUGUUGUGCCUUUGAAAC